AAACUAUACAUCAGGCAUUUUCUAAUUAGCUUCUUGAAACGCUCCCAUGCUUCAUAUAAUGUUUCAUCUUUCGAUUGCCUAAACGAUGUAAUGUCUUAACUAAUCUU
rfam:Gossypium raimondii chromosome 3, whole genome shotgun sequence.